GUGCCAGCAGCCGCGGUAAUACGUAGGGUGCGAGCGUUAAUCGGAAUUACUGGGCGUAAAGCGUGCGCAGGCGGUUUGCUAAGACCGAUGUGAAAUCCCCCGGGCUCAACCUGGGAACUGCAUUGGUGACUGGCAGGCUAGAGUAUGGCAGAGGGGGGUAGAAUUCCACGUGUAGCAGUGAAAUGCGUAGAGAUGUGGAGGAAUACCGAUGGCGAAGGCAGCCCCCUGGGCCAAUACUGACGCUCAUGCACGAAAGCGUGGGGAGCAAACAGGAUUAGAUACCCUGGUAGUCC
rnacentral:rRNA from 1 species